UGUCACAGUAGGCGUCAGACUGCUGACCGUCUGUCUGUCUUACCCUUGCUGAGAAGUGUUUACUCGGCAUUGCUGAAGCCACUGUAGAGCAGUUGAUCAUUGCCUGCAUGCCCCGCACUUCUUCAUGCUUUUAUUGAAACACUUUUACCAUUUUAUUUAUUCUUUUAAAAACAGGGAGACGGCAUUGCUUAUUGAUCCAAAAAACUCGUGUUCUUCAUCACGCCAGUGGGUUGCUCUGGUUGUGGGACAUGAACUCGCCCAUCAAUGGUUUGGAAAUCUUGUUACUAUGGUAUUUAAUAUUUUUAAGUGCUCAAAUAUAUCCAUCUGUGUCCUGCUGCACACUAUUUUGGCCACACUCUUUCAAAUUUGGCUAUGAUGCUAGGCCAAAAAUUAAACAUUUUCUUAUGUGCUCUGUACUGGUGGUGCUUUAAUCCUUAUACUUGGGAGGCAGAGGCAGGGGGGAUGUCUGGCCAGAUUUGUGUACAAAGUGAGUUCCAGGACACACUGUCCACAGAGAAACCCUGUCUUGAAAAACAAAAC
rnacentral:lncRNA from 1 species